rnacentral:rRNA from 1 species
CAUGCAAGUCGAGCGGUAACAGACAUAAAGAUUCAGCUUGCUGAAUCCGGUGCUGACGAGCGGCGAACGGGUGAGUAACGCGUAGGAAUCUACCCAGUAGCGGGGGAUAGCCCGAGGAAACUCGGAUUAAUACCGCAUACGCCCUGAGGGGGAAAGGGGGCAAUUUAUUGCUCUCACUAUUGGAUGAGCCUGCGUAAGAUUAGCUUGUUGGUAGGGUAAUGGCCUACCAAGGCGACGAUCUUUAGCUGGUCUGAGAGGACGAUCAGCCACAUUGGGACUGAGACACGGCCCAGACAUCUACGGAUGGCAGCAGUUAAGAAUAUUGGACAAUGGGGGCAACCCUGAUCCAGGUAUACCGCGUGUGUGAAGAAGGCCCUAGGGUUGUAAAGCACUUUAAUCAGAGAAGAAGCAUUUUAAGUUAAUACCUUAAUUUGUUGACGUUAACUGAAGAAUAAGGACCGGCUAACUCCGUGCCAGCAGCCGCGGUAAUACGGAGGGUCCAAGCGUUAAUCGGAAUUACUGGGCGUAAAGCGCGCGUAGGCGGUUUAGCAAGUUGUAUGUGAAAGCCCUGGGCUCAACCUAGGAACUGCAUCCAAAACUACUAAGCUAGAGUGCGAGAGAGGAGAGUAGAAUUUCUGGUGUAGCGGUGAAAUGCGUAGAUAUCAGAAGGAAUACCAAUGGCGAAGGCAGCUCUCUGGCUCGUCACUGACGCUGAGGUGCGAAAGCGUGGGUAGCAAACAGGAUUAGAUACCCUGGUAGUCCACGCCGUAAACGAUGACAACUAGCCGUUGGGCAGAUUUAACUGUUCAGUGGCACAGCUAACGCAUUAAGUUGUCCGCC